CACGAAGAUACUGCGCAGUACCUUGAGUCCAUAAAUAAAAGAUUGUCUCAAGAUUUGAGCGUCCAUGAAGACUACUUAAAAGCAAGUCAUGUAUUAGAGCUUGCUGAUGCCGUCAGAAAUCAAUCAACAUUUUACAAUAACCUGGGUCUUGCACAUAGUCAGAUGGGAGACCUUAAUCAGGCAAAAGUUUAUCACGAUCGUGCCCUGGCUAUUACGCUGAAAAAGCUCGGACCUGACCAUGUUGAUGUCGCAGCGUCUUGCAGAUAUCUGGGUCUUGUACACCGUCAGCUGGGAGACCUUAAUCAGGCAAAAG